GUGAGUUUGGACAUAUGCAUAUACUUAUGGAAACAUUAUUACCACCAAGGCAAUAGGUAUUCAUGACCCGCAAAAGUCUCCUUGCAUCCUUCUGUUUUUGUGUGUGUGUGUGUGGUAAAUAUACUUACCAUUACAUCAAAUCUCUUCACAGAUGUUUAAGUGCAUAGCACAGUGUUGUUAACUAUAAGCACUAUGCUAUAUAGCAGGUCUCUAGAUCUAAUUCAUCUGGCAUAACUGCAACUUUAUAAUUGAACAAGAAAUCAUUUCAGUUCAGCAUAAUUUAUUCAAAAAUAUAGUGCUUAUUCACAAAUAAUCUUUUCCAUCCUUUUGGAAACAAGUUCUUCUCAUAAUAUUUUGUUCAUACAAAUGUUAAUGAUUUCUCCGUGAUAGUCUUGCAAAAAGAAGACAGCUCCUGAACUAUGUGUGUGUGUGAUGGGGUGGGGCUGAGGAAAAAAAUGGAUGUGUGCAAGGGUUUAUAAGCAAGAAUGGCCCUUCCUGACCAGUAAGGGAAGUUCAGAUUAAUAAAGGAAACUUUACAAUCUCCACAUAAAACAGAAGAGCUAUUUCCUGCAAUAAGACACUAUCUACUCCAUCAAUGACCUAGGAAUGGACGUAGAUUGGUGUCUGCUGGAGACAGAAGUGCCCACAUCAAAGAAUCCUUGAUUUGCAUUGAUCAUCAUUAAUCUCAGCAGGAAGUUGGACCAUAUACUAAGCUAAUAGGUUAGUAACCACCUAUAACCAAUGACUUUGUUUUCAUUAUUGUACCACAUAUACAAUUGACAGUUAUGAGACCAAUUUAAAUUGUGAGCUUUCAAUGAAAAAUUUACCCAGAGAUUCUGCUCCAAUCCCUUGACUGUUGUUAUGUGCUGAGUUGUGUCUUCCCAAAAGAUGUUGAAGUCCUAACCUCUGGUACCUGUGAAUGUGACCUUAUUUGGAAAUAGGAUUUUUGCAGAUGUAAUCAAGUUGAGACGAGGCCAUUGGGGUGGAUCUAAUCCGGUAUAACUGGUUUCCUUACAAGAAGCUGACACACAGUGAGGGAGACUGCCAUUUGAUGAUGGAGGCAGAGACUGGAGUGAAGCAUCUACAAAUUAAGAAAUGCCAAGGGUUGUAGGCAACCACCAGAAGCGGGGAGAGAGACAUGGAACACUUUCCUUUUCAGAGGCCUCAGAAGAAACUAACCUUGCUGACACGUUGAUUUCAUACUUCCAGCCUCCAGAACUGCCCUUGGAUCAGGAUAUUAAGGAGAAAAAAAUGGUGAACCUAGCCAACAUUCCAUCCUUCCAAUCAUCAGAGAUUAGAUAGCUCAGAUGGUUCAAGUCUCUACCAAUGAAAUCAAACUCUGGAGUUUACACCUCACUCCAAGCAUUUCUCUUUGUGCAGAAGAAAAUUGUACCAAACUCAAGGCCACCCCAGGAUGGUUGAUGCGAACAUGCAAAAUUCUACCUUCUUCCAGGCCCUUGCAAAUGCUGUUUCUUCUGCAGAAACUAUCUCCUGCCUUCCAAUUCCAGACAUGAUACCCUGUCAGUCAGUUGCCCUGCAAGACUCAACAAAAGGGUUUCCUCCCUGUAAAUGUUUUUAUGUCUCCACUCAGGAAAGAACAUCCUCUCCCUCACUUCUCUACAUUGUAUUCUAUAUGGACCACCUCAGUGAUAGCUCCGUGAGCCCUACAGAGAAAGUCAGCUACAGUGAAUAAAUAAGGCUUGGGUAACUAUUAGGGACUUUUAAGACAAAAUAUGCAUUUGACAAUGAAUUAAUUAACAUUAUGUAACACUUGAUUCAAUUGCAUUGUUUUGCAUGUAGCAUAUAUCAACCUCCCUGUAUUGCAGUGAGUCAUUCCAGAUGUAGGGAACACAUGUACUCAUCCCAUCCUUGAAUCCCACGUUCUUCCAUAAUAAGUGUUUAUUAGUAGAUGUGUGUUACAUGAAUAAAUUAAUAAAUUGGUGAAUGAAUGGAUGCGUAGAUGGUUAUGUAAAAGGAUAGAUAAAUUUCUUACCCCUUGACACACUAUUUUCCCAGAAGAUGCAAGGCUUUUAUUUAUGUUGUUAUAUUUUGCUGGGGGAUUUUCUUGUUUGUGAUUUUUCAUUCACUAUGUAAAGAAGAAAAUAGAUACCUGUGAACUGAAGCAAACCUAAAACAAAUUGCCUAAGACCAUGACCAACUUGUCUACAAUCAUAAUCAUAA
rnacentral:lncRNA from 1 species